rnacentral:misc_RNA from 1 species
UCCGGUUUGGCACACGGGCUUUCACCCGCUUUACCGUACAUGUCAAGCCCAGGUAAGGUUCUUCGCGUUGCAUCGAAUUGAGCCACACGCUCCGCCGCUUGUGCGGGCCCCCGUCAAUUCCUUUGAGUUUUAGCCUUGCGGCCGUACUCCCCAGGCGGGGCACUUAAUGCGUUAGCUACGGCACGGAACCCGUCGAUAGAGUCCCACACCUAGUGCCCAACGUUUACGGCGUGGACUAC